rnacentral:tRNA from 2 species
GCCGACAUAGCUCAGCUGGUAGAGCAGUCCACUCGUAAUGGACAGGUCGGAGGUUCGAAUCCUCUUGUCGGCACCA